UGGAUGCAGUGAGAUGCUUGGCUGGUUCCUGACUUUCAGGAUAAAUACACAAUGGGAUGAAACCGACCUUCUUCCAGAAUUGAUAUGUCUUGCUUAAUGUCACGGAUACAGAAGAUUAAGUCCUGGGAUAAUAGGUUAUCUAUUUCUAUACUGUAACUUUUAUUGUGUUUUAUAAUUGUAAAUUACAAAAGGCAAAUAUUUGUAUUAUUCAGUGGACCUAAUAUUUUCUUCUGGUUCCAAAGAACCACUGAUAAGGAGGUAGUUUAAAAU
rnacentral:lncRNA from 1 species